rnacentral:rRNA from 1 species
CCUUCGGGGUGCCCAGGCGCGAAAACUUUGCAAUAAGCGAAAGCUUGACAGGGCUAUCCCGAGUGCCAUCCGCUGAGGAAGGCUUUUACCCAGUCUAGAACGCUGGGGGAAUAAGGAGAGGGCAAGUCUGGUGUCAGCCGCCGCGGUAAUACCAGCUCUCCGAGUGGUGUGGAUGUUUAUUGGGCCUAAAGCAUCCGUAGCUGGCUAGGCUAGUCCCCUGUUAAAUCCACCGAAUUAAUCGUUGGAUUGCGGGGGAUACUGCUUGGCUAGGGGACGAGAGAGGCAGACGGUAUUUCCGGGGUAGGGGUGAAAUCCUAUAAUCCCGGGAAGACCACCAGUGGCGAAGGCUGUCUGCUAGAACGCGCCCGACGGUGAGGGAUGAAAGCUGGGGGAGCGAACCGGAUUAGAUACCCGGGUAGUCCCAGCUGUAAACGAUGCAGACUAGGUGUUUGGACGGCCACGUGCCGUUCUAGUGCCGCAGGGAAGCUGUUAAGUCUGCCGCCUGGGGAGUACGAUCGCAAGAUUGAAACUUAAAGGAAUUGGCGGGGGAGCAC